AAAAAGACAAACCCUAGUUUUUCGUGUCCAACUUUAACUGUCCGUUUUAUAAGAAAUUUUUUUAUAAUUCGUAUUUUCAUUGUUGUUAGAUGACAAAACAUGAUUAAUAUUUUAUGCGUGACUUGUCUUUUUAAUUAUUUUUAUAUUUUUUUUUUAAAUAAGACGGACGGUCAAACGUAGACACGGAAAUCAGGUUUGUCUUUGUC
rfam:Oryza glaberrima chromosome 1 Oglab01_0152_6, whole genome shotgun sequence.